AAUCAAUGGUAAGAUAUCGGUCUCCAAAACCGCUCAUGGGGGUUCGAAUCCCUC
rnacentral:tRNA from 1 species